GUGGGGAAUAUUGGGCAAUGGGCGAAAGCCUGACCCAGCAACGCCGCGUGAGGGAAUAAGGUUUUCUGAUUGUAAACCUCUGUCCUUGGUGACGAACACAAUGACGGUAGCCAAGGAGGAAGCCCCGGCUAACUACGUGCCAGCAGCCGCGGUAAUACGUAGGGGGCAAGCGUUGUCCGGAAUGACUGGGCGUAAAGGGCGGGUAGGCGGCCGAUUAAGUCUGGAGUGAAAGUCCUGCUUUCAAGGUGGUAAUUGCUUUGGAGACUGGUUGGCUUGAGUGCGGAAGAGGUAAGUGGAAUUCCCAGUGUAGCGGUGAAAUGCGUAGAGAUUGGGAGGAACACCAGUGGCGAAGGCGACUUACUGGGCCGUAACUGACGCUGAGGCGCGAAAGCGUGGGGAGCGAACAGGAUUAGAAACCCGGGUAGUCC
rnacentral:rRNA from 1 species